rnacentral:rRNA from 1 species
UACGUAGGGUGCGAGCGUUAAUCGGAAUUACUGGGCGUAAAGUGUGCGCAGGCGGCUUGGCAAGUCGAGUGUGAAAUCCCCGGGCUUAACUUGGGAAUUGCGCUCGAAACUACUUGGCUAGAGUGUGGCAGAGGGAGGUGGAAUUCCACGUGUAGCGGUGAAAUGCGUAGAGAUGUGGAGGAACACCGAUGGCGAAGGCAGCCUCCUGGGCCAACACUGACGCUCAUGCACGAAAGCGUGGGGAGCAAACAGG